rnacentral:tRNA from 1 species
UCUCUGGUGGUCCAGUGGUUAGGACUCAGCACUUUUGCUGCCUUGACCUGGGUUCAAUCUCUUGUCGGGGAA